rnacentral:tRNA from 1 species
CGCGGGGUAGAGCAGCCUGGUAGCUCGUCGGGNNGAGGUCGUUGGUUCAAAUCCUUCCCCCGCAACCA